UUUUGAUCAAACCGUCCUAAACCAUCCCCCAAACCGCCUUAAACCGCCUCUUCAACGGCUCCAAACCGCCCAACUCUAAAUCGCCUAUUAAACCAUUUAAACCGGGGUUUGAACCGAAACCGGCGGUUCAUGAAUCGCCCUUCAAACCGUCUCUUACCAGUUCGAUUCAGGUUCAAUAUUUCUCUGAACCUAAACCGGGGGUUCAAGAACUAUAACCGGCGGUUCCUGAACCGUG
rnacentral:misc_RNA from 1 species